rnacentral:rRNA from 1 species
ACUCCUGCGGGAGGCAGCAGUGGGGAAUAUUGGACAAUGGGCGCAAGCCUGAUCCAGCCAUGCCGCGUGAGUGAUGAAGGCCCUAGGGUUGUAAAGCUCUUUCACCGGUGAAGAUAAUGACGGUAACCGGAGAAGAAGCCCCGGCUAACUUCGUGCCAGCAGCCGCGGUAAUACGAAGGGGGCUAGCGUUGUUCGGAUUUACUGGGCGUAAAGCGCACGUAGGCGGACUAUUAAGUCAGGGGUGAAAUCCCGGGGCUCAACCCCGGAACUGCUUUUGAUACUGGUAGUCUUGAGUUCGAGAGAGGUGAGUGGAAUUCCGAGUGUAGAGGUGAAAUUCGUAGAUAUUCGGAGGAACACCAGUGGCGAAGGCGGCUCACUGGCUCGAUACUGACGCUGAGGUGCGAAAGCGUGGGGAGCAAACAGGAUUAGAAACCCGGGUAGUCCCAUGA